rnacentral:lncRNA from 1 species
GGGAGCGAUUGCUAAAAGGAAGUAAGUUCUUCAGAUGCACAGUAAUUGUUUGACAAUGCACAGUUUGUUUGCAGAGGGAACAAGCCUGAGUUGUCAGAGGCCAUUACUGUGCUGAAGAGACAAAAAAUACAGAAAGAAAGAAACCUUGGCAGGGAAUCUCUAGGCAGGACAGCGGUUUCUCUCCGAAAUUCCCUGUGUCUGCAAUGCCAUUAACACUGACUUCGCUUGGGUCACACUUGCUUUAUUGUUUUCCAGUACAGUAAGUGGUGCAUGCAAGCUGGUUAAAGGGCCCACUGCCCGCUAGUGAACUUCGGCCUCGUUCUUUCUUUUUUGUAGAUAAGCAUGUCCUUCUUCUGCUGUUGCCACUGUCUUUCAGCUACUCCAGGAGAGAGGGAAGCUCUUACUGCACACUAUCCAAAACGACCCUGUCAAGACAUUGGCAGUGAUGUCUUCAGUAGGGAGGGGACCCUCACUAUGAAACUGGUCAAUGUGCUCCAGAUUGACACACUGUUUUCAGAUAUCGCUGAAACUUUCAACAAGCAGCACGGGGAUCACUGGGCCAUGAAGGAAGCCAUCCAAAGGCUGAAAGAAGUCUCUGGCUGUGCUCCGACUAAUAGUCUUGCAGCCUGC